UGCUUUCCUCCAAGCUCUUUCUCUGCACCCAAGGACUCUUUUAGCCUCAUUUCCUGAUCUCACUGCCUCGCCUCUGCUGCUGUUGCACUCGGGGGCAGAUGGGAAUGCAGCAGACAGGACUCGCCCUCCUGGCUUUGGCUGCCUGUGCGGCUUUUCGCCCCUCGGAAGCCAUACUUCCCAUUGCCUCCAGCUGCUGCACCGAGGUUUCACAUCAUAUUUCCAGAAGGCUUCUGGAAAGAGUGACGACAUGUCGCAUCCAGAGAGCUGAUGGGGAUUGUGACUUGGCUGCUGUCAUCCUUCAUGUCAAGCGCAGAAGAGUCUGUGUCAGCCCGCACAAUCACGUUAUUAAGCAGUGGAUGAAAGAACAAGCAGCCAAGAAAGAGACUAAAGGCAACAUUUGCCAUAAGAAGAGACACCAUGGGAGGAGGAACAGUCAAGGGGCGCGUCAGGAAAGACAGGAAACACAUGGCCAUAAAACGCCUUAUUAGAGAAGACUCAGCCUAAAUUCUGCUGAUUUAGGAUUCUGAUCAAGAAGCCGUAUCCAUGGCAGUUCCCCAUGAAGUUCAAAGCUCAAACCAGAGGAAUUAUGUAGUAGAAAAAGCACUGGGUUGUUUUGGUCAGACAUGCCUGAAUAGUCACUGAAGGACUGAUGCUGAAGCUGAAGCUCCAAUACGUUGGCCACCUGAUGUGAAGAGAUGAUUCAUUGGCAAAGACCCUGAUGAUGGGGAAGGUUGAAAGCAUGAGGAGAAGGGGAUGACAGUGGAUGAGAUGGUUGGAUGGACUGACUCAAUGGACACGAGUUUGAGCAAAGUCCAGGAGAUAGCGAAGGACAGAGAAGUCUGGCUUGUUGCAGUAAAUGGGGUUGCAAAUAAUCAGACAUGACUUAGUGACUGAAUAACAACACAGAAUGUUGGUUUGUUUAUUUACAAAUGGACAUGGUAAAACCAGCCUCUAAAGAUUGCUGUUGUGGAGUCACAGAAGGCGAUGUGAUAACAGAAGAAUAAUCUAUCUCUGAGAAGGAUUGUGUGCUGUGAGAAAUUCUAAGCCACCACGGCUGCCUUAGAAGAUGGAGAGGACCACCAUCCAUGAAAGUGAGCAGCCUCUAGAAGCUGGAAAGGCAAGAAAGGAAAUGUUUCUCUGGUGCUUCCAGAAGGAAUGCAGACCUGCAGACACCUGGAAUUUUGCCUAGUGAGACUGACUUCAGACUUCGGUUUGAUAAUAAAUUUAUGUUAAUAGAAGUCAUUUAAAAAAUUGGUGUGAGGGUUUAAUGUAAAGCACUGUGCUGGCUACA